rnacentral:lncRNA from 1 species
GAUGCAGGAGCAGUGGAAGCUCCGAACCACUAUAAACCUUUGCGUUUGCGAUUGACUAUGCUUACAACUUUAUUUUUACUUUAGCACAUACACUUGUGUGUUUUUGUUUAAUUAGACAAAAAGUUUUAAAACACCCAAUUCACCCUCCUCUUGGGUGACCAUCUCUGGGCAACAUAUAUGAUAAACAAAAUGUUUUCAUUAGCUUAUGAUAACAAAAUUGUUGAAUUACAGAAUUCAGGUACAAAUAUCUAAUUAACACAUUCUUACGAAAAAUUUUAGUUCAAACCCGCAAAACUAGAUAUCUUACGACUCUGAAAAAAGUGGUAAAGUAAUAAUAUGAGCUAAUAGCUUAGUAAGAAUCCCACGUAGACCGAAAAAUAAAAUAAUAUCUUUUAACAAAACUUUAUAUAUAAUUGCUGAAAUGAAAAUACCGCUUUCAUAAAAUUCAUAUGCCAAUGUUGCUGCUGAGAACCGGCUCGUCCUAGGAACCAUAAUAAGAAGUGCGACUGCGUUAGAGAAUUCGGUUGUCGGCUGCUCUGAUUGGGAUUGGAUAGGGCGAGUGGCAUGCGGUCGCUGUCGGGGUCCUUCUUGGGUAGCCGCACUCUGACCUGAAUCAGUACAAACAAAAAAAUCCUCUGACCGGAGCGUAUCCGGUAGAAACCCUCCGAUGUCUAAGUCAGAAAAGUGCUCGGAGAAUAGAAGGAGGUUCUCUCGCAGUCUGUUAGGGCAUCUUUUGUGCAC